rnacentral:lncRNA from 1 species
GAUAUUGGUACGUGUGACUCGAUAGAGUAUGUCGUGUAGGACGACGACGGUGGGUAGUGCUUGGGGACGACCCGUGCCUGGACCAUUUGUGGACUGUGGAGCCUGGGCCCUUUGGGCAGGCGCAGUCAGCUGUGAGUGACAGCGGCCCGGUACCUACGGGUAGGGCAGAGUUCCGGUCAAGACGGUAGUCCGAGCUUAGACCCGGGAGCGUGGAAUGCCACGUGAUA